rnacentral:rRNA from 1 species
GAUGAACGCUGGCGGCGUGCCUAAUACAUGCAAGUCGAGCGAAUGGAUUAAGAGCUUGCUCUUAUGAAGUUAGCGGCGGACGGGUGGGUAACACGUGGGUAACCUGCCCAUAAGACUGGGAUGACUCCGGGAAACCGGGGCUAAUACCGGAUAACAUUUUGAACCGCAUGGUUCGAAAUUGAAAGGCGGCUUCGGCUGUCACUUAUGUAUGGACCCGCGUCGCAUUAGCUAGUUGGUGAGGGAAGGGCUCACCAAGGCAACGAUGCGUAGCCGACCUGAGAGGGUGAUCGGCCACACUGGGACUGAGACACGGCCCAGACUCCUACGGGAGGCAGCAGUAGGGAAUCUUCCGCAAUGGACGAAAGUCUGACGGAGCAACGCCGCGUGAGUGAUGAAGGCUUUCGGGUCGUAAAACUCUGUUGUUAGGGAAGAACAAGUGCUAGUUGAAUAAGCUGGCACCUUGACGGUACCUAACCAGAAAGCCACGGCUAACUACGUGCCAGCCGCCGCCGUAA